CCUACGAGGGGCAGCAGUGGGGACUAUUGCACAAUGGGGGAAACCCUGAUGCAGCGACGCCGCGUGAGUGAAGAAGUAAUUCGUUAUGUAAAGCUCUAUCAGCAGGGAAGAAAAUGACGGUAACUGAGUAAGAAGCCCCGGCUAACUACGUGCCAGCAGCCGCGGUAAUACGUAGGGGGCAAGCGUUAGCCGGAGUUACUGGGUGUAAAGGGAGCGUAGACGGCAGUGCAAGUCUGGAGAGAAAGGCGGAGGCUCAACCCCUGGACUGCUCUGGUAAUUGUACGGCUGGAGUGCAGGAGAGGAUAGUGGAAUUCCUCUUGUAGCGGUGCAAU
rnacentral:rRNA from 1 species